GGGCUAGUAACUUAAUUGGUAAAGGCCUUCCUUGUCGAGGAAGGAAAUGCUGGAUCGAAACCGGCCUAGCUCG
rnacentral:tRNA from 1 species